rnacentral:rRNA from 1 species
UGCAGUCGAACGAUGAAGCCCAGCUUGCUGGGUGGAUUAGUGGCGAACGGGUGAGUAACACGUGAGUAACCUGCCCUUAACUCUGGGAUAAGCCUGGGAAACUGGGUCUAAUACCGGAUAGGAGCGCCUACCGCAUGGUGGGUGUUGGAAAGAUUUAUCGGUUUUGGAUGGACUCGCGGCCUAUCAGCUUGUUGGUGAGGUAAUGGCUCACCAAGGCGACGACGGGUAGCCGGCCUGAGAGGGUGACCGGCCACACUGGGACUGAGACACGGCCCAGACUCCUACGGGAGGCAGCAGUGGGGAAUAUUGCACAAUGGGCGCAAGCCUGAUGCAGCGACGCCGCGUGAGGGAUGACGGCCUUCGGGUUGUAAACCUCUUUCAGUAGGGAAGAAGCGAAAGUGACGGUACCUGCAGAAGAAGCACCGGCUAACUACGUGCCAGCAGCCGCGGUAAUACGUAGGGUGCGAGCGUUAUCCGGAAUUAUUGGGCGUAAAGAGCUCGUAGGCGGUUUGUCGCGUCUGUCGUGAAAGUCCGGGGCUUAACCCCGGAUCUGCGGUGGGUACGGGCAGACUAGAGUGCAGUAGGGGAGACUGGAAUUCCUGGUGUAGCGGUGGAAUGCGCAGAUAUCAGGAGGAACACCGAUGGCGAAGGCAGGUCUCUGGGCUGUAACUGACGCUGAGGAGCGAAAGCAUGGGGAGCGAACAGGAUUAGAUACCCUGGUAGUCCAUGCCGUAAACGUUGGGCACUAGGUGUGGGGACCAUUCCACGGUUUCCGCGCCGCAGCUAACGCAUUAAGUGCCCCGCCUGGGGAGUACGGCCGCAAGGCUAAAACUCAAAGGAAUUGACGGGGGCCCGCACAAGCGGCGGAGCAUGCGGAUUAAUUCGAUGCAACGCGAAGAACCUUACCAAGGCUUGACAUGUUCUCGAUCGCCGUGGAGAUACGGUUUCCCCUUUGGGGCGGGUUCACAGGUGGUGCAUGGUUGUCGUCAGCUCGUGUCGUGAGAUGUUGGGUUAAGUCCCGCAACGAGCGCAACCCUCGUUCCAUGUUGCCAGCACGUAAUGGUGGGGACUCAUGGGAGACUGCCGGGGUCAACUCGGAGGAAGGUGAGGACGACGUCAAAUCAUCAUGCCCCUUAUGUCUUGGGCUUCACGCAUGCUACAAUGGCCGGUACAAUGGGUUGCGAUACUGUGAGGUGGAGCUAAUCCCAAAAAGCCGGUCUCAGUUSGGAUUGGGGUCUGCAACUCGACCCCAUGAAGUCGGAGUCGCUAGUAAUCGCAGAUCAGCAAC